AAGACUCAGACUGGACAUGUUCGUUGGCACGGCAACUGAUAAACACUUGCAGCAGCUGGAGUGGAGUUACAGUUUGAAAACUUUUAAUCUCUCUAUUUAAAUAAUUGUUGUAUAGCGCUCGUUAUCUAUACAAUAAAAGGGUAUUUCUUAUCAAUAGUGUGUUAUCUCUUGGACACAAUGCCUGUAGUUCACAAGACAGGAACUGUGAAAUCCAAGCAGGGGUCAAACACUCAGUCCCAGAAGGCACCCGCAGCAAAGACUGCAAAAGCUGCCAGCAAGAAAAAGGAUGAGGAGGAUGGAACAGAGAUGGGUGAAGGAGAUGAGUGGAUGCAAGGGAAGACUCUGAUCAAGCCACUUGACCAGCUGGAUCUCACUGAGGCUGAGUUAAAAGAGGAAUUCACCAGGAUCCUGACUGCAAACAAUCCACAUGCCCCUCAGAAUAUCGUCCGCUACAGCUUCAAGGAACGUUCAUACAAGCCAAUCAGCAGUGUGGAUCAGCUGGCUGUCCACUUUGUGCUGGAGGGUAACCUGUUGCACCAGGACUCAGAUGAGGCACGCAGACAGAGGGCCAAACAGGGCCUCCCUGAGGAAAAAGCCACAGUUGAGACCACUGUAGCUGAAAAGCCUGAGACUCCGGCUGCCGGUGGGGAGGAUGCAGGGGAUGUGGAGGAGGGCGGGGGAGAGGAGAGAGCUGACAGUGUGGAGUCCAAGGCUGGCAAGAAGGAGCAGAAAAUCACCAACCAGUUCAACUUCAGUGAGAGGGCCUCCCAAACUCUCAACAACCCACUCAGGGAAAGGGGAUGUCAGACAGAGCCCCCUCCUCGUGCAAACUUCUCAGCUACUGCCAAUCAGUGGGAGAUCUAUGACGUGUAUUUGGAGGUGCUGCAGAAGCAGGAGAAGAACAAGGAGAAGGCGAAAGCCGUCCCCAAGAAGGACGACGACAAAGGCAAGAAGAAGAUGAUGCUGGUGGAGACCCAGAGUGAUGACAUCACCAAAGUGGCCAAGGUGGCCAAGAUCAUCGAGCGGAUGGUGAACCAAAACACGUUUGACGACAUUGCACAAGAUUUUAAGUACUUUGAGGAUGCUUCUGAUGAGUACCGGGAGCAGGAGGGCACCCUUCUCCCCCUCUGGAAGUUUCAGUACGACAAAGCCAAGAGGCUGUCUGUUACUGCCCUCUGCUGGAAUGAAAGCUACAAAGAUUUGUUUGCCGUCGGCCUUGGAUCAUAUGACUUCACCAAGCAGGGGCGGGGCAUGCUGGUGUUCUACUCCCUGAAAAACUCCACUUUCCCUGAGUAUAUCUACCCCACUACGUCAGGCAUCCUGUGCCUGGACAUCCACAAGCACCUGCCCUACCUGGUGGCCGUGGGCUUCUACGACGGCUGCGUGGCCGUCUACAACCUCAAAGAAGAGACGCUGCAGCCCAUCUAUAAGAGCACCGCCAAGUCUGGCAAGCACACCGACCCUGUGUGGCAGGUGAAGUGGCAGAAGGACGACAUGGACAACAAUCACAACUUCUUCUCUGUGUCAUCUGAUGGCCGUGUGGUGUCAUGGACUCUUGUCAAGAAUGAGCUGGUCUUCACAGACAUCAUCAAGCUGUCGUUGGCGGGAGCUGUGUCAGAAGGACCAGAAGGCGUGCAACUUCCCAUCAUGGCUUGUGGAACAUCCUUCGACUUCCACAAACAGAUUGACUACCUCUUCCUGGUUGGCACGGAGGAGGGCAAGAUUCACAAGUGCUCCAAGGCUUAUUCCAGCCAGUUCCUGGAGACCUACAAUGCCCAUAACAUGGCAGUGGACGCAGUUAAGUGGAACCACUUCCACACCAAGGUCUUUAUAUCCUGCAGCUCUGAUUGGACCGUCAAGAUCUGGGACCACACCAUCAAGACCCCAAUGUUCACCUUUGACCUGAACGCCUCUGUGGGAGAUGUGGCAUGGUCUCCUUACUCCUCCACUGUCUUCGCUGCAGUCACCACUGAUGGCAAGGUUCAUACCUUUGACCUUAGCAUCAACAAAUAUGAGGCCAUCUGCCAGCAGCCGGUGGUGGCCAAGAAAAAGACUAAGCUGACUCACAUUGAGUUUAACCCCGUCUACCCCAUCAUCAUCGUGGGAGACGACCGAGGAUAUGUUACGAGCCUCAAGCUCUCGCCUAACCUGCGCAAAAAACCCAAGGCCCACCCCUACUCCCCGGGCCUUCGAUGGCCAUCCGGCGUACACGGUGAGAUGCCUCCUGAGGGUUCGACCAUGGGGCAGGGUUUUCCAGUACCUGGUUGACUUGGAGGGUUAUUGCCCAGAGGAGAGGUGCUGGGUCCCUGCUAGAGACAUCCUGGACCCAGCCCUCAUCGCUGACUUCAACCGCCGGCACCCCGGUCAACCUGGUAUGCGCCCAGGAGAAGAAGGGUCAGGAGUUGCCCAAGGGGCCUGAGGUGGAGAUCGCCAAGAUGGAGAAGCUGCUGAGUUUACUGCGGGAGCCAGAGAACAGCAAUGCUUAGAAACUAUGACAACACCAUGCAGGACUGUAGUCGCCCACUAUUUUUACUACUGCACUCCAGUUAUAAACCCACCACCACCAUCAUGCCUUAUUACUACUGUCUUCUGUCUUCUAAAGCUGCAUACUAAAGCCACCGUUCCUUCCCAUGUUGAAGUAUAGUGCAGUCUAUUGAAUCUGUGCAAUCUAGCCUACUGUUUUUCUCACUCUUGCGCUGUGCACUAUACUAAACAUAUAGAUAGUCAGUGUGCAACCAGCAACGUCUCCUUUACUUGAUGCGGCAAAACCACUCAAGCUUUGGGUUAUAUUUUCUUUGUUUUGGAAAACAGAGUAGCUCAGUUUGUUUGGAAAUAUUCAUAAAAAAUAUUUAUCAUU